CCCCGGUAAACGGCGGCCGUAACUAUAACGGUCCUAAGGUAGCGAAAUUCCUUGUCGGGUAAGUUCCGACCUGCACGAAUGGCGUAAUGAUGGCCAGGCUGUCUCCACCCGAGACUCAGUGAAAUUGAACUCGCUGUGAAGAUGCAGUGUACCCGCGGCAAGACGGAAAGACCCCGUGAACCUUUACUAUAGCUUGACACUGAACAUUGAGCCUUGAUGUGUAGGAUAGGUGGGAGGCUUUGAAGUGUGGACGCCAGUCUGCAUGGAGCCGACCUUGAAAUACCACCCUUUAAUGUUUGAUGUUCUAACGUGGACCCGUAAUCCGGGUUGCGGACAGUGUCUGGUGGGUAGUUUGACUGGGGCGGUCUCCUCCUAAAGAGUAACGGAGGAGCACGAAGGUUGGCUAAUCCUGGUCGGACAUCAGGAGGUUAGUGCAAUGGCAUAAGCCAGCUUGACUGCGAGCGUGACGGCGCGAGCAGGUGCGAAAGCAGGUCAUAGUGAUCCGGUGGUUCUGAAUGGAAGGGCCAUCGCUCAACGGAUAAAAGGUACUCCGGGGAUAACAGGCUGAUACCGCCCAAGAGUUCAUAUCGACGGCGGUGUUUGGCACCUCGAUGUCGGCUCAUCACAUCCUGGGGCUGAAGUAGGUCCCAAGGGUAUGGCUGUUCGCCAUUUAAAGUGGUACGCGAGCUGGGUUUAGAACGUCGUGAGACAGUUCGGUCCCUAUCUGCCGUGGGCGCUGGAGAACUGAGGGGGGCUGCUCCUAGUACGAGAGGACCGGAGUGGACGCAUCACUGGUGUUCGGGUUGUCAUGCCAAUGGCACUGCCCGGUAGCUAAAUGCGGAAGAGAUAAGUGCUGAAAGCAUCUAAGCACGAAACUUGCCCCGAGAUGAGUUCUCCCUGAGACUUAGAGUCUCCUGAAGGAACGUUGAAGACGACGACGUUGAUAGGCCGGGUGUGUAAGCGCAGCGAUGCGUUGAGCUAACCGGUACUAAUGAACCGUG
rnacentral:rRNA from 2 species